rnacentral:rRNA from 1 species
AGCCCUUCGGGGUGGAUUAGUGGCGAACGGGUGAGUAACACGUGGGCAAUCUGCCCUUCACUCUGGGACAAGCCCUGGAAACGGGGUCUAAUACCGGAUAAUACUUUCCCUCUCAUGGGGGAAGGUUAAAAGCUCCGGCGGUGAAGGAUGAGCCCGCGGCCUAUCAGCUAGUUGGUGGGGUAAUGGCCUACCAAGGCGACGACGGGUAGCCGGCCUGAGAGGGCGACCGGCCACACUGGGACUGAGACACGGCCCAGACUCCUACGGGAGGCAGCAGUGGGGAAUAUUGCACAAUGGGCGAAAGCCUGAUGCAGCGACGCCGCGUGAGGGAUGACGGCCUUCGGGUUGUAAACCUCUUUCAGCAGGGAAGAAGCGAAAGUGACGGUACCUGCAGAAGAAGCGCCGGCUAACUACGUGCCAGCAGCCGCGGUAAUACGUAGGGCGCAAGCGUUGUCCGGAAUUAUUGGGCGUAAAGAGCUCGUAGGCGGCUUGUUGCGUCGGUUGUGAAAGCCCGGGGCUUAACCCCGGGUCUGCAGUCGAUACGGGCAGGCUAGAGUGUGGUAGGGGAGAUCGGAAUUCCUGGUGUAGCGGUGAAAUGCGCAGAUAUCA